rnacentral:piRNA from 1 species
UGCUGUCUCUGCUGCCUCAACGUCUCC